AUCUACAGAUAGAAUCAAUUCUAUAGUAAACGUCCUCUUCUGAGCUCCUUACCAGAGCCACAGAAUCUCCAACCUGGCUGAUGAUCGUAUUUCCCCGGUGCCCUAGAGUGAAGCCUUUUACUCUCGCCUUUGUUCAGAUCUGACUUUGUCGGUGACGAAUUAGAGAGUGGUGAUGAUCUCGACCCUCUUUCGACUUAGACUUCGGUCGGCCGAGGAGGGUGGGUGCUGGUGGAGGUCUGACAGGC
rnacentral:snoRNA from 1 species